ensembl:misc_RNA
UGGAUUACAUUUGUGUAUGAAGGUUUCUAUCCAAACUUUGAAAUAUCUUUUGACUUUAUAUUUUACAUGCAUGCAUGUGUGUUCAUGAUGGGGAGAGAAAGGAAUGUUCGCAUUUGGGUUAGUACCAAGCAUGGUGUGGGUAACUGCUGUGAGCCUUUUUAUUACAAUUUUGUCCUGACAUAUGAGUUGGAAAAU